rnacentral:rRNA from 1 species
UGGGGAAUUUUGGACAAUGGGCGCAAGCCUGAUCCAGCCAUUCCGCGUGCAGGAUGAAGGCCCUCGGGUUGUAAACUGCUUUUGUACGGAACGAAAAGGCUUUCUCUAAUACAGAGAGCUCAUGACGGUACCGUAAGAAUAAGCACCGGCUAACUACGUGCCAGCAGCCGCGGUAAUACGUAGGGUGCGAGCGUUAAUCGGAAUUACUGGGCGUAAAGCGUGCGCAGGCGGUGAUGUAAGACAGGUGUGAAAUCCCCGGGCUUAACCUGGGAACUGCAUUUGUGACUGCAUCGCUGGAGUGCGGCAGAGGGGGAUGGAAUUCCGCGUGUAGCAGUGAAAUGCGUAGAUAUGCGGAGGAACACCGAUGGCGAAGGCAAUCCCCUGGGCCUGCACUGACGCUCAUGCACGAAAGCGUGGGGAGCAAACA